rnacentral:rRNA from 1 species
AUUGAACGCUGGCGGCAUGCCUUACACAUGCAAGUCGAACGGUAACGCGGGGCAACCUGGCGACGAGUGGCGAACGGGUGAGUAAUGUAUCGGAACGUGCCCAGUUGUGGGGGAUAACUGCUCGAAAGAGCAGCUAAUACCGCAUACGACCUGAGGGUGAAAGCGGGGGAUCGCAAGACCUCGCGCAAUUGGAGCGGCCGAUAUCAGAUUAGGUAGUUGGUGAGGUAAAGGCUCACCAAGCCGACGAUCUGUAGCUGGUCUGAGAGGACGACCAGCCACACUGGGACUGAGACACGGCCCAGACUCCUACGGGAGGCAGCAGUGGGGAAUUUUGGACAAUGGACGCAAGUCUGAUUCAGCCAUGCCGCGUGCGGGAAGAAGGCCUUCGGGUUGUAAACCGCUUUUGUCAGGGAAGAAACGCUCUGGGUUAAUACCUCGGGGUAAUGACGGUACCUGAAGAAUAAGCACCGGCUAACUACGUGCCAGCCGCCGCGGUAACAC